CGAACGACAGCACAGUAAGAGCUUGCUCUUAUGGGUGGCGAGUGGCGGACGGGUGAGGAUNCAUCGGAAUCUACUCUGUCGUGGGGGAUAACGUAGGGAAACCUACGCUCCUACCGCAUACGACCUACGGGUGAAAGCAGGGGAUCUUCGGACCUUGCGCGAUUGAAUGAGCCGAUGUCGGAUUAGCUAGUUGGCGGGGUAAAGGCCCACCAAGGCGACGAUCCGUAGCUGGUCUGAGAGGAUGAUCANCCACACUGGAACUGANACACGGUCCANACUCCUACGGGAGGCAGCAGUGGGGAAUAUUGGACAAUGGGCGCAAGCCUGAUCCAGCCAUACCGCGUGGGUGAAGAAGGCCUUCGGGUUGUAAAGCCCUUUUGUUGGGAAAGAAAUCCAGCUGGCUAAUACCCGGUUGGGAUGACGGNACCCAAAGAAUAAGCACCGGCUAACUUCGUGCCAGCNGCCGCGGUAAUACNAAGGGUGCAAGCGUUACUCGGAAUUACUGGGCGUAAAGCGUGCGUAGGUGGUCGUUUAANUCCGUUGUGAAAGCCCUGGGCUCNNCCUGGGAACUGCAGUGGAUACUGGGCGACUAUAGUGUGGUAGAGGGUAGCGGAAUUCCUGGUGUAGCAGUGAAAUGCGUAGAGAUCAGG
rnacentral:rRNA from 1 species